GACGAACGCUGGCGGCGUGCUUAACACAUGCCAGUCGAACGGAAAGGCCCUGCUUUUGUGGGGUGCUCGAGUGGCGAACGGGUGAGUAACACGUGAGUAACCUGCCCUUGACUUUGGGAUAACUUCAGGAAACUGGGGCUAAUACCGGAUAGGAGCUCCUGCUGCAUGGUGGGGGUUGGAAAGUUUCGGCGGUUGGGGAUGGACUCGCGGCUUAUCAGCUUGUUGGUGGGGUAGUGGCUUACCAAGGCUUUGACGGGUAGCCGGCCUGAGAGGGUGACCGGCCACAUUGGGACUGAGAUACGGCCCAGACUCCUACGGGAGGCAGCAGUGGGGAAUAUUGCACAAUGGGCGGAAGCCUGAUGCAGCAACGCCGCGUGAGGGAUGACGGCCUUCGGGUUGUAAACCGCUUUCGCCUGUGACGAAGCGUGAGUGACGGUAAUGGGUAAAGAAGCACCGGCUAACUACGUG
rnacentral:rRNA from 1 species